AUACGGAGGGUGCAAGCGUUGUUCGGAAUCACUGGGCGUAAAGGGCGCGCAGGCGGUUUGGUAAGUCAGAUGUGAAAGCCCACGGCUCAACCGUGGAAGUGCAUUUGAAACUGUCAGACUUGAGUACUAGAGGGGAAAGUGGAAUUCCCGGUGUAGAGGUGAAAUUCGUAGAUAUCGGGAGGAAUACCGGUGGCGAAGGCGACUUUCUGGCUAGAUACUGACGCUGAGGCGCGAAAGCGUGGGGAGCAAACAGCAUUAGAUACCCUAGUAGUCC
rnacentral:rRNA from 1 species